rfam:Cicer arietinum chromosome Ca3, whole genome shotgun sequence.
CAUAACCUAAUCGAAUAAUACUUGGACUAAGGGUUAAGUUUGUAAUUUUUCUUACAUCUCCCCCUCCUGGAGCCCAGGUAUCAUAUAUACCUCCAAAAUAAGAAGCCUUAAAUACUAGAAGAAAAGCCCCUAUACCUAACAAUAUUAAGUGAAUACCUAAAAUAGUAGUCAUUUUAUUUCUGUCUUUCCA